rnacentral:rRNA from 1 species
AGAGUUUGAUCCUGGCUCAGAAUCAACGCUGGCGGCGUGCCUCAGACAUGCAAGUCGAACGAUUAAACUCUCCUUCGGGAGAGAUAUAAAGUGGCGCACGGGUGAGUAACACGUAGGUAAUCUACCUUUGAGUGGGGAAUAACAAUCGGAAACGAUUGCUAAUACCGCAUAAUGCAGCGGCAUCUAUGAUGACAGUUGUUAAAGGAGCAAUCCGCUUAAAGAGGAGCCUGCGGCAGAUUAGCUAGUUGGUAAGGUAAUGGCUUACCAAGGCUACGAUCUGUAACCGACCUGAGAGGGUGGUCGGUCACACUGACACUGAAUAACGGGUCAGACUCCUACGGGAGGCAGCAGUCGGGAAUUUUGGGCAAUGGGCGAAAGCCUGACCCAGCAACGCCGCGUGAAGGACGAAGUCUUUCGGGAUGUAAACUUCGUAAGAAUAGGAAGAAUAAAUGACGGUACUAUUUGUAAGGUCCGGCUAACUACGUGCCAGCAGCCGCGGUAAUACGUAGGGACCAAGCGUUGUUCGGAUUUACUGGGCGUAAAGGGCGCGUAGGCGGCAAUUCAAGUCAGUUGUGAAAUCUCCGAGCUUAACUCGGAACGGUCAACUGAUACUGCUUUGCUAGAGUACAGAAGGGGCAAUCGGAAUUCUUGGUGUAGCGGUGAAAUGCGUAGAUAUCAAGAGGAACACCUGAGGUGAAGACGGGUUGCUGGGCUGAUACUGACGCUGAGGCGCGAAAGCUAGGGUAGCAAACGGGAUUAGAUACCCCAGUAGUCC